rnacentral:rRNA from 1 species
UACGAAGGGGGGCUAGCGUUACUCGGAAUCACUGGGCGUAAAGCGCACGUAGGCGGCUUCUUAAGUCAGGGGUGAAAUCCUGGAGCUCAACUCCAGAACUGCCUUUGAUACUGGGAGGCUCGAGUCCGGGAGAGGUGAGUGGAACUGCGAGUGUAGAGGUGAAAUUCGUAGAUAUUCGCAAGAACACCAGUGGCGAAGGCGGCUCACUGGCCCGAUACUGACGCUGAUGCACGAAAGCGUGGGAGCAAACAGG